rnacentral:rRNA from 1 species
AUGCCCCGAUGGGUUGAACCUAUACCUUCUCUAAAACCGUGUGAACCCAAAAGUUUUCACGAGUCAUACUCUUCUGGUGCUUCGCCAGAUAAAAUUUCAACACUGCAACUUCUUCGAAGACGAAAAGUGAAUGGAAGGUUAUGCAUUAAAGAAGUGGGAGUCGACCUUGAACUUUGCGUUCAUGCCCAUGGACCCGAUGUGAAACUUAUCAUGGAAGCUUCUUGCAAAAUACUUAAUCAUUUGGGUAAUUCUUUCGAUGUCAUUAGAUUGGAUCCCUUGCAGCUAUGGUUCCGACCAUAUUGUUCUUCUUUGAUCCCAUUUCUCGGGGAAGUUUAA